rnacentral:misc_RNA from 1 species
ACGAUGAGUAGGUAGAUGCAUGCUUGCAGCAGUUAGGAGCUGCAGCAUAUCAUAGUAGUUAGGAGCUGCAGCAGUUAGGAGCUCAUGGGCCAAUAAACUGUUUGGUGAGAUGAGUUACUGUUCUGUAGUGGUUUCAUGAAUGAAUAUUUUCAUCUUCUGUGUGGAGAAGCGAUAGCUGGAGCUGCAGCAUAUCAUAGUAGAAGGUCCUUAACUUAUGAAUCAAGCUUCUCUAGUCCAAAUCAAAGAGCCAAGUUAUGUUGGGAAUGUCAAGAUUUACAUGCCGAGUUUGAAGUUGUUAAUUGAUGAUAGUUGCUUGUUAUGUUUGUUAGAUAAGCUAGUAUAGGCUAUUAACAACUUCAAACUCGGCAUGUAAAU